UACAGAGGAGCCAAGCGUUGUCCGGAUUGACUGGGCGUAAAGCGCACGCAGGCGGAUGCGCGCGUGGGGUGUGAAAUCUGGCCGCUUAACGGCCAGGCGCCAUCCCAUACGGCGCGUCUGGAGUGAUGCAGAGGUCGGUGGAAUUGCCGGUGUAGUGGUGAAAUGCGUAGAUAUCGGGAGGAACACCAGUGGCGAAGGUGACUACCUGGCCUGUUCUUGACGCUGAGGCGCGAAAGCUAGGGGAGCAAACGGG
rnacentral:rRNA from 1 species